CCUACGGGAGGCAGCAGUCGGGAAUAUUGCGCAAUGGAGGAAACUCUGACGCAGUGACGCCGCGUGCAGGAAGAAGGUUUUCGGAUUGUAAACUGCUAUCGACAGGGAAGAAAAAAGACAGUACCUGUAGAGUAAGCUCCGGCUAACUACGUGCCAGCAGCCGCGGUAAUACGUGGGGAGCAAGCGUUAUCCGGAUUACUUGGGGUUAAAGGGUGCGUAGGCGGGCUGUUAAGUCCGCGGUAAAAGCCCGGGGGUCACCCCGGGCGAGCCGUUGAAACUGGCUGGCUUGAGAUGUCGAGAGGUAUGCGGAAUGCGCAGUGUAGCGGUGAAAUGCUUAGAUAUUGCGCAGAACUCCGAUGGCGAAGGCAGCAUACCGGCGGCGAUCUGACGCUGAGGCACGAAAGCGUGGGUAUCGAACAGGAGUAGAUACCCCAGUAGUC
rnacentral:rRNA from 1 species